rnacentral:tRNA from 1 species
AAAGAUUUAGUUAAUAAAAAUAACAUUAGAAUGUCAAACUAAAAUCGCUUUAAAGCAAUCUUUU